AUUGAACGCUGGCGGUAGGCCUAACACAUGCAAGUCGAACGCGAAAGUCCUUCGGGAGUGAGUAGAGUGGCGGACGGGUGAGUAACGCGUAGGAAUCUAUCCUGUAGUGGGGGAGUAACGUUUCGAAAGGAACGCUAAUACCGCAUACGCCCACCGGGGGAAAGCGGGGGAGUCUUCGGACCUCGUGCUAUAGGAGGAGCCUGCGUCGGAUUAGCUAGUUGGUGAGGUAAAGGCUCACCAAAGGCGACGAUCCGUAGCUGGUCUGAGAGGAUGAUCAGCCACACCGGAACUGAGACACGGUCCGGACUCCUACGGGAGGCAGCAGUGGGGAAUAUUGCGCAAUGGGCGAAAGCCUGACGCAGCCAUACCGCGUGUGUGAAG
rnacentral:rRNA from 1 species